UACGUAGGGUGCAAGCGUUGUCCGGAAUUAUUGGGCGUAAAGAGCUCGUAGGCGGUCUGUCACGUCGGCUGUGAAAACCCGAGGCUCAACCUCGGGCCUGCAGUCGAUACGGGGCAAACUAGAGUACUGCAGGGGAGACUGGAAUUCCUGGUGUAGCGGUGAAAUGCGCAGAUAUCAGGAGGAACACCGGUGGCGAAGGCGGGGUCUCCUGGGCAGUAACUGACGCUGAGGAGCGAAAGCGUGGGGAGCGAACAGGAUAGAA
rnacentral:rRNA from 1 species